AUUGAACGCUGGCGGCAGGCCUAACACAUGCAAGUCGAACGAGUGGCGGACGGGUGAGUCAUAUCUGGGAACCUGCCCGAUGGAGGGGGAUAACUCCUGGAAAGGGUAGCUAAUACCCCCUACCAUCGGAUGCGCCCAGAUGGGAUUAGCUAGUAUGUGGGGUAAAGGCGUACCUAGGCAACGAUCCCUAGCUGGUCUGAGAGGAUGACCAGCCACACUGGAACUGAGACACGGUCCAAACUCCUACGGGAGGCAGCAGUGGGGAAUAUUGCACAAUGGGCGAAAGCCUGAUGCAGCCAUGCCGCGUGUGUGAAGAAGGCCUUCGGGUUGUAAAGUACUUUCAGCGGGGAGGCGUAACCAGCAUAAUAAGCACCGGCUAACUCCGUGCCAGCAGCCGCGGUAAUAC
rnacentral:rRNA from 1 species